rnacentral:rRNA from 1 species
UGAUGUAUUAGGAUUAUAACUAUGUUAAAUUAUAGAUAACAAUAAUACAAUAAGAAUAAGAUCUAUCAGUUAGUUGUUAAGGUAAUGGCUUAACAAGACUAUGACGGAUAACGGUAUUACUUUGUAAUAUUCCGGAGAAGGAGCCUGAGAGAUUGCUACUAAGUCUAAGGAUUGCAGCAGGGGCGAAACUUGACCUAUGAUAUGAUAUUGAGGCAGUUAUGAGUAGUAUUUUU